GACGUAGGGCGCGAGCGUUGUCCGGAUUUAUUGGGCGUAAAGAGCUCGUAGGCGGUCUGUCGCGUCGGUCGUGAAAACUUGGGGCUUAACCCUGAGCUUGCGGUCGAUACGGGCAUGACUGGAGUUCGGUAGGGGAGACUGGAAUUCCUGGUGUAGCGGUGAAAUGCGCAGAUAUCAGGAGGAACACCGGUGGCGAAGGCGGGUCUCUGGGCCGAUACUGACGCUGAGGUGCGAAAGCGUGGGGAGCAAACAGG
rnacentral:rRNA from 1 species